rnacentral:lncRNA from 1 species
AAAAUUAAACACUUUCAACUGUCCUGGCCCUGGAUGGAAUUGGCACUGGAGAAUCAGUUGGGUUCACAUAAUCAGAGCCCAGGAACCUCAAGCAGAAGAGACCAGCAAGGCCAUGAGGAUGCAUACAGAAGAUGUCUAGCUUGGUGGUCCUGGGCCGUGGCAGGAAAGUCAGAGCUGAAACUUGACUCUAAGGAUACUGGUGAAUAUUAG